UAAGGGUCAUGUCUAUAGUCAUUUAUUGUUAUCUUAACUCUUAAUGUAACACAAGCUGCAAAAUUUGAAUUUGAGACCUUAUAAACAGGCCAUAUGUUAUCAUUUAAAUUUUUUGAAAGUAUACAAAAUAUAUUAUCUUGCUUCUAUAUUUUGCUAAUUAAACAAGUUUGGAGGUAAAUAUCCACGACAAACAAAACUCUUAGGGUGUUGCUUAUUAUAUUUUUUUUAUAACCACACAUUUAAAUAAAAAAAAUGUGUAAUAUUAGUAACUGUCACGCAUUUCUAGGCAUAUUCUUUUUCCUGUUUUGUUGGUCCCUUCUGUUUGUGCGAUUAAGCUGGAGCAAACACUAUGUGCUAGUUUGGGCCAUUGAACUAUUUAUUCUGUUUAUAUGGUUUGAUAAGCCCAAUAUUUGAAGUGAUAUAGCGAUAUAGCAUAAUAGUAAAAUAGCCUAUGAUGCUAAACAAGUCCGUCGAGUUUGAUAUUGGAUUCUAGCUCUAGCCCCUCCCGAGCUUAGUUGCAACAUGUUAUAAACCGUCAGACUAUCUACAUUGAUCUUGUUUUUGCGCCGUCCAGAACAACGUGGAGGCACUGGACGGCUUGAUGUAGACGAGGUUCAUGAAGGCUUUUGGGAAAAGAAGUCCGCAACCCCGGACCUAAAAAAGAGCGCAUAUAUUAAGAGCAGUCUGAUGAACACUAUUAAUUUGUGAGGAGAGUGUAGAUCGAAAGAAGAAAGGCCUUGUGUUAUUUGGUAUAAAGGGGUGUUUGGGAUUGCUUAAGCUUUGCGGUAUGGGAGAGUCUCAUCCUUGGAGGAUGAUCGCCACGUCAUAGUUUUUGGAGGAUGCCCCUCUAAGGAUGAAACAAUGGAAAUGGAGGAUGAGCCUACCCCACCAACUUAAUUUUUUUUUAAAUUUUAUCUACUUUUUUAACAUUGGUUAUAAAAUGGACUCUUAACUAAUCUCAUAAACAUUUUUACACCCCUUAAAUAUCCUUUCACAAAGCUUUGUUUUUCAUAAAAAUCCUCGCCGUACCUCUGCAUCUUCGCCGGAAUUUAUUUCUCUCGUCGGUGUUCGUUUCGCCGGAAUCACCAAGUCACGUCAUUCGUGGUCACCGGUAAAAAAGGUGAAUAUAUCCACCAGUUAUGACUUAGCGGUAGGAGGCUUGGUUCUCUGGUGGAGACUAAAGUUUGAUCCCCAUUUGUGUCACUUUUGAUGGAUUAAAGCAUUGAAGAUUUUGAGAUAGACUUUGUGAGAGGUUGUCAGUUCGAAUCCAAAGUCCACCCGGGUUUUCGUCCCACCAUAUGUUAUUACAGAGAGUUCUGCUCUUGUGGUGGCACAACGACUGUCAAGUGACAGCUGACAGUAUGGUUAAGCCAAAAUCUUAAGCCAGCGUGGGCCCAGUUAAGACAAAAUAGUAUGGCCAGAGUGGGACAACGGAGCUCUCCAAGUUGGAGAGUGCGGUGGCCCAACACAUGAAAGUCCUCGUUCCAAAAAAAAAGUGAAUACAUAGUAUUGUUUUUGCUUUUAAGAACAUUUCGAUAUAAAUAUAAUUGAAAAUUGCGUUGGUUUCAAAAUAAUGUAUGCCUUUAUCUCGUCCA